rnacentral:rRNA from 1 species
ACUGGUGUUCGGGUUGUCAUGCCAAUGGCACUGCCCGGUAGCUAAAUGCGGAAGAGAUAAGUGCUGAAAGCAUCUAAGCACGAAACUUGCCCCGAGAUGAGUUCUCCCUGAGACUUWRRGUCUCCUGAAGGAACGUUGAAGACGACGACGUUGAUAGGCCGGGUGUGUAAGCGCAGCGAUGCGUUGAGCUAACCGGUACUAAUGAACCGUGAGGCUUAACCUU